AACGAACGCUGGCGGCAUGCCUAACACAUGCAAGUCGAACGAUUGCCUUCGGGUGAUAGUAGCGCACGGGUGCGUAACGCGUGGGAAUCUGCCCUUAGGUUCGGAAUAACAGCUGGAAACGGCUGCUAAUACCGGAUGAUAUCGCGAGAUCAAAGAUUUAUCGCCUGAGGAUGAGCCCGCGUUGGAUUAGGUAGUUGGUGGGGUAAAGGCCUACCAAGCCGACGAUCCAUAGCUGGUCUGAGAGGAUGAUCAGCCACACUGGGACUGAGACACGGCCCAGACUCCUACGGGAGGCAGCAGUGGGGAAUAUUGGACAAUGGGCGCAAGCCUGAUCCAGCAAUGCCGCGUGAGUGAUGAAGGCCCUAGGGUUGUAAAGCUCUUUUACCCGGGAAGAUAAUGACUGUACCGGGAGAAUAAGCCCCGGCUAACUCCGUG
rnacentral:rRNA from 1 species